rnacentral:lncRNA from 1 species
UUCUACAUUAAAAAACAUGUUUAAAUUUUUUUUUUUUUUCUUUUCUUAUAUAAAGUUUAUGUAACAAAGUUCAGAUCAAAUAAUAAAAAAUAUACAUACAUAAUUAUAUGUUCACACAUUCUAUUGACAAAAAAAAAAAAAAAAAAAAAAACUAUAAAUUUCAGUAAUACAUUCGAGUGUUAGUUUAGUUAAUAUAAACUAUUGAGAUAAGUAGCAACAAAUGACAAAAAAAAACAUGCAUCUUAUAUGUAUAUAAACGGGUGCGCACAUAAUAAAUACAAUAGCUGGUUGGUUCUGUUCUGUUCUGUUCUGUUCAAACAAAAAAAAAAAAAAAAAAAAAAAAAAACGGGAAAGAAGGAACGAGCAAAAUAUAAAUUAGAUAAUUGUAUUAAUAAAAAGGUGAACGAAUAAAGGAGGGAGCAAAUUUACAUACACGCCUAUAUGCACAGUUUGCUACCACAUGCACCACAUGCACCACCUACACAACCUACACAAUCUACACAACCUACACAACCUACACAACCUCUCAUGGAAAAUCUAAAAAACAUCACCCCAAUUGAUGGUAGGUACAAAUACGCAUGCUCAGAAUUAUCAAACUAUUUGUCCGAAUACGCUUUAAUAAAACAUAGAAUUAUAGUAGAAUUGAAAUGGUUGUUAUUUUUAAAUGAAAAAGAAUUUUUUUUUAAAAAGCUUAGCGAAAAUGCUGUUAAUAAAUUAAAUACAAUUCUUAACAACAUAAACGAUAACAACAUUAAAAGAGUAAAAGAAAUUGAAAAAAAAACAAAUCAUGAUGUAAAAGCUGUUGAAUAUCUAAUAAAAGAAUUGAUAUGCAAUAUCAAUGAUACUGAGUUAUUAAAUAUAAAAGAAUACGUACAUUAUUUAUGUACAAGUGAAGAUAUAAAUAAUAUAUCUUAUGCAAUUUGUGUGAAAUUAUGUACAAACGAUAUUAUAAUACCACAGCUAGAAACAAUUAUGAAUAAAUUAAAAUAUUUAUCUGUAACAUAUGCUGAUAUUCCUUUAUUAUCUCGAACACAUGGUCAAGCUGCAUCUUCUACUACUUUUGGAAAAGAGAUGGCUAAUUUUUAUUCUAGAUUAUACAAACAUAUAACUACAUUAAAAAAUGUUAAAUUCUAUGGUAAGUUUAAUGGUGCAGUUGGUAAUUUCAAUGCUCAUAAAAUAUCAAAAGAAAAUAUUGAUUGGAUUCAAAAUAUAAAAUAUUUUAUUAAUACAUAUUUUAAUUUACAUUAUAGUAUAUACUGUACACAAAUACAAGACCAUGACAAUUUAUGUGAGCUAUUUGACACCUUAGCUAGAAUUAAUUCAACCCUUAUCGAUUUAUCAGUUGAUAUAUGGCUUUAUAUUUCAAAUAAUUUAUUAAAAUUAAAUAUCAUAGAAGAAGAAGUAGGAAGUAGUACUAUGCCACAUAAAGUAAAUCCAAUUGAUUUUGAAAAUGCGGAAGGGAAUUUAUGGCUAGCUAAUAGUUUGUUUAAAUUGUUUAGCUCAAAAUUACCAAUUAGUAGAUUACAACGAGAUUUGUCAGAUUCAACUAUAUUAAGAAACAUAGGAACUGCUUUUUCUUAUUCACUUAUAGCUUACAAAUCUAUAUCUAAGGGAUUAGAUAAAAUAGAUGUUCAUGUUAGUAAUAUAAACAAUGAAUUGGAUAACAAUUGGGCUAUAUUAGCAGAGCCCAUUCAAAUUAUAAUGAAAAAAUAUAACUUUCAUAAUGCUUAUGAAGAAUUAAAAAUAUAUACAAGAGGCAAAAGUAUUAACAAACAAUUGAUUCAUAAAUUUAUAAAAACAAAAUGUACUUCUUUACCUCCACACGUUGUUAAUGAAUUAAUAAAUAUAACUCCAACCAACUAUAUCGGAUAUGCUAGUUAUUUAGCAAAGAAUGUAGAAUGUUUAGUUAAUGAGUUUGAAACGGUGCAAAUACCUACGCAAGGUGAGGAAGGAAACCAAAUCAUGGACUCCGAACGCCAAUCCCUAGUUUAGGUUCUUUGCAUAUGUAGCAAUACCUACGUACGA